GACGAACGCUGGCGGCGUGCUUAACACAUGCAAGUCGAACGGGCCUGUCUUCUUUUUUGGGGGUGGGUUGAGUGGCGAACGGGUGAGUAUCACGUGAGUAACCUGCCCUUCGGUCCUGGAUAACCGCUUGAAAGGGCGGCUAAUACGGGGUGGUCCGGUUGGUCCGCAUGGGCUGGUCGGGAUAGAUUCACUGUUUUUGGUGUUUCGGCGGGGGAUGGGCUCGCGGCCUAUCAGCUUGUUGGUGGGGUGAUGGCCUACCAAGGCGGUGACGGGUAGCCGGGCUGGGAGGGUGGGCGGCCACACUGGGACUGAGAUACGGCCCAGACUCCUGCGGGAGGCAGCAGUGGGGGGUAUUGCACAAUGGGCGGAAGCCUGAUGCAGCGACGUCGCGUGAGGGAUGGAGGCCUUCGGGUUGUGAACCUCUGUUCCCGGUGGUGAAGGCCCUGUCCGUGUGGUGGGGUUGACGGUAGCCGGGGAUGAAGCGCCGGCUAACUACGUG
rnacentral:rRNA from 1 species